GCCCGUGUGGCAAUGGGAAGCCGUGAUGCGGAGCGAAAUAAAGUAGUGAAGUCCGUGAGCCAUGCGUCAAGAAAAGCCGCUAUUGUUUAUACCGUACCCGUACCGUAAACCGACACAGGUGGAUGAGGAGAGAAUCCUAAGGCCGGCGGAAGAAGCAUUGUCAAGGAACUCGGCAAAAUGGCCCCGUAACUUAGGGAUAAGGGGUGCCUGGGAAACCAGGCCGCAGAGAAUAGGCUCAAGCAACUGUUUAGCAAAAACACAGGUCUAUGCGAAACCGAAAGGUGAGGUAUAUGGGCUGACGCCUGCCCGGUGCUGGAAGGUUAAGAGGAGAGGUUAGCGGUAACGCGAAGCUUUGAAUUUAAGCCCCAGUAAACGGCGGCCGUAACAAUAACGGUCCUAAGGUAGCGAAAUUCCUUGUCGGGUAAGUUCCGACCCGCACGAAAGGCGUAAUGAUUUGAGCGCUGUCUCGACAAUGCAUCCGGUGAAAUUGAAGUACAAGUGAAGAUGCUGGUUACCUGCGCCAGGACGGAAAGACCCCAUGGAGCUUUACUCCAGUCUGGUACUGGGACUCGGUAUUGCAUGUACAGGAUAGGUGGGAGGCUAGGAGAUGGUAACGCCAGUUGCCAUGGAGCCGCUGUUGGGAUACCACCCUUGCAGUAUGGGGUUUCUAACCAGCCGCCGUGACCCGGCGGUGGGACAAUGCCAGACGGGGAGUUUGACUGGGGCGGUCGCCUCCGAAAGGGUAUCGGAGGCGCCCAAAGGUUCCCUCAGAAUGGACGGAAACCAUUCGAAGAGUGCAAAGGCAGAAGGGAGCUUGACUGCGACACCGACGGGUGGAGCAGGUACGAAAGUAGGGCUUAGUGAUCCGGUGGUAUUAAGUGGGAAUGCCAUCGCUCAACGGAUAAAAGCUACCCUGGGAUAACAGGCUUAUCACUCCCAAGAGUUCACAUCGACGGAGUGGUUUGGCACCUGGAUGUCGGCUCAUCGCAUCCUGGGGCUGUAGUAGGUCCCAAGGGUUGGGCUGUUCGCCCAUUAAAGCGGUACGCGAGCUGGGUUCAGAACGUCGUGGGACAGUUCGGUCCCUAUCCGGCGUGGGCGUGGGAUAUCUGAGAGGAGCUGUCCUUAGUACGAGAGGACCGGGAUGGACGGGCCGCUGGUGCAUCGGUUAGACUGCCAAGUCUACGGCCGAGUAGCCAAGCCCGGAAGGGAUAAACGCUGAAGGCAUCUAAGCGUGAAGCCCCCCUUAAGAUGAGAUAUCCCAUUCGAAAGAAGUAAACCCCCUUGAAGACGACGAGGUAGAUAGGGCAGAGGUGGAAGUGCAGCAAUGCAUGGAGCUGACUGUUACUAAUCGGGUGAGGGCUUGACC
rnacentral:rRNA from 1 species